UUUGAUCCUGGCUCAGGAUGAACGCUAGCGGCAGGCCUAAUACAUGCAAGUCGAACGGUAAAUAUUUUAGCAAUAGAAUAUGAGAGUGACGUACGGGUGCGUAACACGUAUGCAACCUACCCUUUACAGGAGUAUAGCUCGGGGAAACUCGGAUUAAAACUUCAUAAUAUAUCUGGAUGGCAUCGUUUGGAUAUUAAAUCUACGGAGGUAAAGGAUGGGCAUGCGUCUGAUUAGUUAGUUGGCGGGGUAACGGCCCACCAAGACGAUGAUCAGUAGGGGAACUGAGAGGUUGAUCCCCUACACUGGCACUGAGAUACGGGCCAGACUCCUACGGGAGGCAGCAGUAGGGAAUAUUGGUCAAUGGAUGGAAGUCUGAACCAGCCAUGCCGCGUGCAGGAAGACGGCCUUCUGGGUUGUAAACUGCUUUUGCCAGGGGCUAAAAAGCUCAUGCGUGAGAAAUUGAAAGUACCUGGUGAAUAAGCCACGGCUAACUACGUGCCAGCAGCCGCGGUAAUACGUAGGUGGCAAGCGUUGUCCGGAUUUAUUGGGUUUAAAGGGUGCGUAGGCGGCCUAUUAAGUCAGUGCUGAAAUAUUUCGGCUCAACCGAGAGGGUGGCAUUGAUACUGAUGGGCUUGAGUACAGAUGAGGUAGGCGGAAUUGACGGUGUAGCGGUGAAAUGCAUAGAUAUCGUCAAGAACACCUAUAGCGAAGGCAGCUUACUAAGCUGUAACUGACGCUGAGGCACGAAAGUGUGGGGAUCAAACAGGAUUAGAUACCCUGGUAGUCCACACUGUAAACGU
rnacentral:rRNA from 1 species